rnacentral:rRNA from 1 species
GUGGGUAAUCUGCUCUGCACAUCGGGAUAAGCCUGGGAAACUGGGUCUAAUACCGAAUAGGACCACAGGACACAUGUCCUGUGGUGGAAAGCUUUUGCGGUGUGGGAUGGGCCCGCGGCCUAUCAGCUUGUUGGUGGGGUGAUGGCCUACCAAGGCGACGACGGGUAGCCGGCCUGAGAGGGUGUCCGGCCACACUGGGACUGAGAUACGGCCCAGACUCCUACGGGAGGCAGCAGUGGGGAAUAUUGCACAAUGGGCGAGAGCCUGAUGCAGCGACGCCGCGUGGGGGAUGACGGCCUUCGGGUUGUAAACCUCUUUCACCAUCGACGAAGGUCCGGGUUUUCUCGGGCUGACGGUAGGUGGAGAAGAAGCACCGGCCAACUACGUGCCAGCAGCCGCGGUAAUACGUAGGGUGCGAGCGUUGUCCGGAAUUACUGGGCGUAAAGAGCUCGUAGGUGGUUUGUCGCGUUGUUCGUGAAAUCUCACGGCUUAACUGUGAGCGUGCGGGCGAUACGGGCAGACUUGAGUACUGCAGGGGAGACUGGAAUUCCUGGUGUAGCGGUGGAAUGCGCAGAUAUCAGGAGGAACACCGGUGGCGAAGGCGGGUCUCUGGGCAGUAACUGACGCUGAGGAGCGAAAGCGUGGGGAGCGAACAGGAUUAGAUACCCUGGUAGUCCACGCCGUAAACGGUGGGUACUAGGNNNGGGUUNNNNUCCUUG